ACUCUGAAGUGAAAAUUCCAGAACCCUACAAACGGAAUGAACUCACGUUUGUGAAUCAGUAUGUGGUUUUAUGGGUAGGAAUGAUGUGCAUAUACUCAUCGCAGGCCCAUUCGUUCCUCUCAUGUUUGACAGCUUCCCUACAAAAUGCCUGUAAUGGAAGAUGUUUGUGCAAUAGAGAGGUUUUGGAGCAAAGAUGGUGGAUAGAUAACAGCUGGCUACAGAGGCUCCCUGAGAUAGUCAACAUAAUUCAACAUAAUACAGCAAUCAAAAUACAGUCCCGGUGCUACUGCUUGAACAGCUAAAGGUUCAGUGCUCCCGCUACAGUGCCUGAACUUGUGCAGCAACUUACCGAGCCGUCUGAAAUCCUCUGCCUUGACUCGCUAGAAACAUAGUCACACUGAGGUUGAGGGUUGGCAAGUCGAAUGGUGAGUUGAGCUGUCAGGGAACCUGCAUUGACCUGUGGUGAAUGACGGGAAUAAAACCAUUCCACAGAAAAAGGGGCUUCAACAGACGAUAUUCUGGGACUGUGCAAGACUGGCAAGAACAAGGAACAGCAGUGACUUUAGUCAGUUGUUCCCUUCCUGAACAGGAUUGGUGGAGUGAGGUUGGCCUGGGUCACGCAAACUGGCUGAGACCCAGUAGGUUAUCCGAAAUCAAUUCCCUACGGCGGUGGUGCACACUAACACAGUGAAGGCCUCAGCAGAUUGACUGACCUGGAGUGGAGGGGCCAGCAUAUGCUGCCCCUGUUUGCAAUUCACUAAUACACUACAGUGGGAAGGGUCACCUAGCCAGAGUGCUUCAGAAGAAUUGUAAGCAACAAAGAAAGAAACUGGGACCUACUGGAAGAAACAAAAAAGAUGGGAAGAGGAAGCAACAACAAAAAGUCCCUAGGUCCCAAUCCUGAGAACAUUGACCCAGGAUAGGGAAAUACAAAGGACAAUGAGGACAGCAAACAUGCAAUAUCAGACACGGCACCAGUGGAAAUAAAAAGAUAUCUUUGGGACCUCAUAGACGAGUUCAAAAGGGAAAUAUUUAGCCAAGUAAAGCAAGAUAUAAGAAGAUUGAUUAAAAAAGAUGCUAAGUACUCCUCAAGAAGACACAGACAGAAGAAGGGAGGAACUCAAACAAAGGAGAGAACCAUUUGAUGAAGAAUAUAAACAAAACAUAGAAUACAUGAAGGGGUCUCAAAGAGAUUACCAGGAAAUUAAAAACUCUGUGGAAAGAUGGCAAAUCUGCUUGAAAGAAACUAAGGAUAGACUAUCCAAACUGGAGGACAGUUUUGCAAUGUGGGAUUAUGAAAGGGAAAACUUUUUAAAAAUAACAAAGAAACAAGAAGUAACAAUACAAAGACUAGAAGAUGACAAGAGGAUCUAUAAGUUGAGAAUAAAGAAUGUGAAUGAAGAAGCAGGGGUACAAACAAAGGAACUACAAAGGCUAUUCAUAGAAAUAACUAAGGAAAACUUCCCAAACAUAGGAAAAGGAAAUGAUAUUCUGAUUUAUGAAGCAUACAGAACUCCAGCCACCUACAGCCAAAACAGAGCCACACCCAGGCAUAUAAUAAUCAAGAUUCCAGAUAUUUAGUAUAAGAACAGAAAAUUAAAAGCUGUUAGAGACAAGAAACAGAUAACCUAUAAAGGAAGGACCAUCAGAAUAAUGGCAGACUUCUCGACACAAACCAUCAAGUCAAGAAGAGCCUGAAGGGAAAUAUUCCAAGCCCUGAAAGAAAAUAACCUCCAACCCAGACUGAUAUACCCUGAUAAACUGUCUCUAGAAAUUAAUGGAGAAACAAGAUGCUUCCAAGACAAAGAGGAACUUGGGUAAUUUGCGACUACCAACCCAACUCUAUAGAGAACACUGCAGGGCAUUCUAGAAAGAGAGAAAAGUACUAGGACUCCAGGAACAGUGGCAAAGAGGCCUCAAUGAAUGUAGCAGAAAACAGAAUGAAGAUAAGCAGACAACUGAUGGCAAAAAAAGAGCAUAACAGAAAUGAGGCAGAGAAGAUUUUAUUCAAAACUGAUAUGAUUGAUAGUAUCAAGUCUGAGAGAGUAUAGACAACUACACUGAAGAUGACAAGACUCUACGAUACACAUUCUGGUUUGAUUACUGCCUGUUUUUCAAGUUUUAUACUAUAUACAAAGUUGUGUUUUUACUAAUACUGUUAUAUACUGAUAUAUUCAAUUAUACUAUGUCUGAUGAUAUAGCCAAUCCUAUUGAAAAUAACAAGAGACAACACAGGAACUAUGGUAGAACUCCUUGUACAAUGGUCUUAUAUGUCUUUUCCAUUUCAUGUGUUUAUAGGAAUAUGUUUUGUUUUGUCUUGCUUUGUUUUGUUUCUCCCCCUAAUAUAGAAAGGAUAGAAAUACGUGUUAAGACUCAUGCAUGUGUAGAACCUAUAAACAGUUUAUUAGAACUGAUCUUAUGAAACAUGAUGAACAAAUACUUUGAAGAAAAGGAGACACUAAAGUACCCAGUGCUGAUCCUGGAGUGCCAUAAUGUGAAACCCAGCAAUAGUAUUAUUUUUGUUCAGAGUGUAAUAGCCUGCUUGGGUUUGUUCAUUCUCAACAUAUUUGAAGAUAUGGAGCUGCAUGUAUGUUUAAGUGUAUAGGACUGAUAACCGUAUUUCUAAGUUUUUGUUGGAUAGUUGAACAGAACUGGUUGCAGUCUCAUUGUUUUAAUCUCCACUUUAUAUGCUCCACUUUAGUAUCUUGAAAAACUAUUUGUAAGAGGACUAUCUGUAAAAAUCAACUAGUGAUUUCUUAUUGUUUAUUUUUUUCUUUGAAAGUAUGUAUUGUUUCUACCCGUUUUCUGUUUUGUUUAAUUUUUCUUUAAAUAAAAAAAAGUAAAAAAGACACUACAGUACCCUGUGCGGAUCUCAUAGUAUCUUGAUGUGAAAUCCAGCAAUAUUAUUAUUCUUUGUUCAGAAUGAUUUUAGCCUGCUUUCGUUUGUUUAAUCUCACCAUAAUUGAACAUAUGGAUAACUGUAUGUAUGUUUAAGUGUAUAGGAUUGAUAACUAUAUUACUAAGUUUUUGUUGGAUAGUUUAACAGAAUGUUUACAGUCUCGCUGUUUGAAUUCCCACUUUAUAUGUUCCACUUUUGUAUAUUGAACAACUAUUUGUAAGAGGACAGUAUGUAAACAUCACUAGUGAUUUCUUACUGCUUAUUUUUUCUUUGAAUGUAUGUAUUAUUUCUACCCAUUUUCUGUUUUGUUUAGUCUUUCUUUAAAUAAAAUUAAAAAUAAAUAAUAAACUGUCCACAUAGUUAAGUAAAUGUGUAAUAAAGAGAUAAAUGAAGGAUAAAAGGAUAAAUCAAGCAGUUUAAUUUGAAAACUAAAAUUCUCCAAAAUAUUCUAUUAGUAGCAGCAGGGUGAAAAAAUCUAUUUAUAAAAACAUGGAAAAGAAACACAAGCUAGCAUACUUGUUCCUGUGAUGUCCUCUACCAUGUAUGUUUUCAUAGAGCAAAGAGACCCUCACCAGACAUUGGCACCAUGCUUUUGGGCUUCCCAGGCACUGAAACAGUUAAUUGAUAAAUCUUUUUUAUUUGUAAGUUACUCAAUCUGUGGUACUGCACUCAGUUAUAGCAAUAGCAAAUGGUUAUACAGUUACAUGGAAGUACAUACACACAUAUUCACACAUAAAAAUGCAUAAUUUAGUAUGGCUUAACAUAGGGCAGGCCACCUUUUGUUGUGAGUAACUUUCCACCUUUUGUUACUCACAUACUUCUAUCUUGAUUUGAACAUAAGCACUGGUGUUACAGGUAUUUCAGCAAAUGGUCAGAAUCUCACAUUUUAUGUUAAUUGGUUUCAUAUCUAUGAGUUCUACUUUGUUGACAAGAGGAGCAUAGAUUUUAAUAUCUUUAUAGUUUCCAAUGUUGGGUUCUAGCUGAAACCACUUCCAUAUUUGCGUUUAAAUAUUUAGUUUGUUUUCUUUUGUAGAGCUGACAGGCAAGUUUGUAUCAAUGUAGUUUAUUGAAAUACCAGUCUCCAAGUAGAUAACUUUGUCACCUGCUGGGAACACAAGAGGUCAGAGUCUGGAGAAAUAGUGUUUCAAGGCAAAUGCAUUUUAUUUAGGUUCCAGCUCCUCCCUUUACUGAGUUGUCACUGGCAGUCUCGAGUUUUCUAAACCAUGGUUUUUCACUGGUAAAUAAACAAUGGUAUAUUCAUGAUUGAACUGUUUAGAUGAUUACAUAAAAAUACAAAGUACCAUACAAAUGUUAAAUUAGUGGUAGAUGUUGGUAGUAGACUAUAUCUUUCUUGCUUUUAACAUUUGUUUGCAUAGUUAUUUAAUGGAAGAGAUAUUGUUCCACUUCUUAUCAUAUGAUGACAUGUUGUGAAAAUGUUGUAGUAUUGUUAAAUAGCAAUGUAUGUUAUAUAAAUAUAUAUAUAUAUAUAUAUAUAUAUACACACACACACACACACAUAUAUUAAUUUGUUUUGUUAGAAAACUUUCUCAGCCCCAUUGCAAAAUGAGUCGCUUCAAGACAGUAGUUUCUGGAUCUAUUAGAGUGAUAUAUCUAAAGAUAAUAAAUUUUGGAUCUAUUUUUGUAAAUGAGGACUAAAAGGUAUAAUAGAUAUUGAGAAAUGGGAAAAAUAUUCUAAUGGGAAGGGGAACAGAAGAGACAGUAGAGGGAAAGGAAGGAACAGAGAGGGAUAAAAAAAGAAAAUAAAAGGAAAAAAUGAAAACUAAGCUUUUGUAAAUGAGAAGUUGAAAGGAGAGGAGACUGGGGGAAAAAAAGAAGCAAGAUCUAUGGUGUACAGGUCCAAAAUCCCUGUGAUGAAUGUUAUCAUUACAUGUGUUUAAAAUGUACCAAUAAAAUUAAAACAAUAAAAAAUGA